rnacentral:tRNA from 1 species
GCCUGGCUGGCUCAGCUGGAGGAGCAUGUGACUCUUGAUCUCAGGAUUGCGAGUUCGAGCCCCGUGUUGAGUA